rnacentral:pre_miRNA from 1 species
UGAAGCUGCCAGCAUGAUCUGAAAGCAUACGAGUCCUUCGUUAUCAUCUGAUGAAAGAAAUAGAUGAUCAGAUCAUCUGGCAGUUUCAUU